rnacentral:rRNA from 1 species
UACGUAGGGUGCAAGCGUUAAUCGGAAUUACUGGGCGUAAAGCGUGCGCAGGCGGCUUUGCAAGACAGAUGUGAAAUCCCCGGGCUUAACCUGGGAACUGCAUUUGUGACUGCAUGGCUGGAGUGCGGCAGAGGGGGAUGGAAUUCCGCGUGUAGCAGUGAAAUGCGUAGAGAUCCGGAGGAACCCCAGAGGCGAAGGCGGCGCCCUGGCUCGCAACUGACGCUCAGACACGACAGCAUGGGGAGCGAACGGG